AGAGUUUGAUCAUGGCUCAGGACGAACGCUGGCGGCGUGCCUAAUACAUGCAAGUCGAGCGGAUUCUUCCUUCGGGAAGGGUUAGCGGCGGACGGGUGAGUAACACGUAGGCAACCUGCCUGCAAGAUCGGGAUAACUAACGGAAACGUUAGCUAAUACCGAAUACGCAGUUGGAUCGCAUGAUCCGGCUGGGAAAGAGG
rnacentral:rRNA from 1 species